UACAGAGGUCUCAAGCGUUGUUCGGAUUCAUUGGGCGUAAAGGGUGCGUAGGCGGCGCGGUAAGUCGGGUGUGAAAUCUUGGAGCUUAACUCCGAAACUGCAUUCGAUACUGCCGUGCUUGAGGACUGGAGAGGAGACUGGAAUUUACGGUGUAGCGGUGAAAUGCGUAGAUAUCGAGAGGAACACCAGUGGCGAAGGCGAGUCCCUGGACAACUACUGACACUGAGGCACGAAAGCUAGGGGAGCAAACAGG
rnacentral:rRNA from 1 species